UUCGAUGCAACGCGAAGAACCUUACCUACUCUUGACAUCCAGCGAAUCCUUUAGAGAUAGAGGAGUGCCUUCGGGAACGCUGAGACAGGUGCUGCAUGGCUGUCGUCAGCUCGUGUUGUGAAAUGUUGGGUUAGUCCCGCAACGAGCGCAACCCUUAUCCUUUGUUGCCAGCACGUUAUGGUGGGAACUCAAAGGAGACUGCCGGUGAUAAACCGGAGGAAGGUGGGGAUGACGUCAAGUCAUCAUGGCCCUUACGAGUAGGGCUACACACGUGCUACAAUGGCAGAUACAAAGAGAAGCGA
rnacentral:rRNA from 1 species